GAAAUGCUGCAGAGACCCAGCCGGAAACAGUGCUGGCCAGCUCACGCCUGACCCACCCUUAUUCUAAGCAUAGGGUCUGCCUCUGAAGAGCUAAAGACUUCCUGAAAUUUAAAAAUUAGUGCUUUUAUUUGCUUGUCCUGCUAAGACCGUAGGCAAAGGCCAUCCUCCUCCCAUUGACAGUUUAGAGUGGGCAGAAACAACCACGGUUACCCUAGAAGUAAAUCCAGAGCUGCGGGACGCUGGAGGACAAAACCAACCUUCCAGGGAAGCCGAGGAGAAGUCAUGCCUUCAAAAGAUGAAGGAACGAGGGCACAGAGAGAUUCGAGUUGUCACCCAAGCUCACAUAGCACCAGUGACAGAGAUGAAGAAACUGACAUCUGGAGAAGUUGAAGUAAUUUGCACAAAGAUUCACUUGGCUAACGGAGUUUUGCUCUGUCACCCAGGCUGGAGUGCAAUGGCCCGAUCUCGCCUCACUGCAACCUCCACCUCCCGAGUUCAAGAGAUUCUCCUGCCUCAGCCUCCCAGGGGCUGGGAAGUUCAAGAUCCAGGCCUCAGAAGAUUUGGGGUUUGGUGAGGGCCAUCUUCUCACUGUAGCCUUACAUGGUGGAAGAGUUCAUGGACCAUUGUUGUUGCCUCUAAUAAGAGGCAUGUGUUUUCUCCAUCAGUUCAUGGAACCAUUGUUGUUGACUCUAAAAAGAAGAGAAAAGUGCUCAAGUAUCUUCACAGGAAGGCCAUUUAGAUGGUGGGUCUUUGAGUCAUGGAUCUCUCUUUAAAAAUUCUACCAAGAAACACAGACACCAAAUUUUGCAUGCAAUUUCAGGGACUUAUGGACCCCAGCUUGACUUGUCAGCCUCACAGGAAAACUAGUGGUGGGAUUUCAUUUCCAUUCUACCAAAUGAAUUUCAGUUGAUUAAAAAAUGACCAAUUGUUACACUCCAUAGAUCAGAAUCUAGCCUUUUAUACAUCUGUGAAUAUAAUCUUUUGCAGAGAUUAUUAGCCCUGUUGAAACUAAUUUUUUUUUUUUUUUUUUAGAUGGAGUCUCUGUCACCCAGGCUGGAAUGCAGUGGCUUAAUCUUGGCUCACUGCAAGCUCCACCUCCCGGGUUCACACCAUUCUCCUGCCUCAGCCUCCUGAGUAGCUAGGACUACAGGCGCCAGCCACCACGCCCAGCUAAUUUUUUUUUUUUUUUUGUACUUUUAGUAGAGACGGGGUUUUACCGUGUUAGCCAGGAUGGUCUCGAUCUCCUGAACUCGUGAUUCGCCCACCAUGGCCUCCCAAAGUGCUAGGACUACAGGCGUGAGCCACCAUACCCGGCCCUGAAACCAAUUUUAAAACACUGAAUCUCUAUCAAGCCCUCACAAUGUGCUUACCACGACUAAAUGUAUUUAUAUACAUCAUUUUAAUUCUUAAAGUCUGCAUAGAUGAAUGCACUAAAAUACUCAAGAGUAAGUAACUUUUCUAGAGUCACACAGUUUUUGAGUCACAAACUUCAAAGCCAGUAUCUAACCACCAUCUACUCCUUUGCUUUCCCACCCUAGAAGGAAAACUUUACUCUCCACCUACUAUGGUUACAAAUUUUGUAAGAUGUGUUUUCCCUGGUAGAAGAGGCUUCAAGUAACAAUCUACACCUAAUAAUAUCCAACAUUAAUUUUGAAAUUCUGACCAUUGAUCUUCAUGAAGUUCAAAAGGAAUUUACUUUUUCAGUUCUAAAAUUAACACGACCAAUUUAGUAAUUCAGAAGAUUAUUUUUGUCCAUUGUACUAGCUUAUGAUCUCCUUGAAAGCUGAAACUAUGAAUGCCUCACUUAUCCUGCUCACAUGUGGCACGCCUAGGCCUUAGGAAGAUGCCCAGUGUCAAAUACAGGAAUGUGUUUGCUCCUCUCAGUUCUCAAUGGCUUCCCAGAAGAUACCAUAGCUUCCCACAGAUGUAAACCAGGAGAAUCCUCUUGUAACAGCUUUAACAGGCCUGUUUCAUUUUAUUUCUACUGAGUAGCAUACAUCUAGCUCAUUUUAAAAUCCAGCUCUUGAUCUUUAGUUUUAAAAAUAUGUACCACUGGCUGGGCAUGGUGGCUCACGCCUGUAAUUCCAGCACUUUGGGAGGCAGAGGCAGGUGGAUCACCAGAGGUUGGGAAUUCGAAACCAGCCUAACCAACAUGGAGAAACCCCAUGUCUACUAAAAAUACAAAAUUAGCCAGAUGUGGUGGCGCAUGCCUGUAGUCCCAGCUAUUCAGGAGGCUGAGGCAGGAGAAUCGCUUGAACUCGGGAGGCGGAGGUUGCGGUGAGCUGAGAUUGUGCCAUUGCACUCCAACCUGGGCAACAAGAGUGAAACUCUGUCUCAAAAAAAAAAAAAAAAAAAAAAAAAAAAAAAAAAAUUGUGUAACACUGGCCAGGCGCGGUGGCUCACGCCUGUAAUCCCAGAGGCAGGUGGAUCACAUGAGGUCAGGAGUUCGAGACCAGCCUGGUCAACAUGGGGAAACCAGGUCUCUACUAAAAAUACAAAAAUUAGUGGGGCAUCAUGGUGCAUGCCUGUAAUCCCAGCUACUUGGGAGGCUGAGGCAGGAGAAUCGCUUGAACCCUGGAGGUGGAGGUUGCAGUGAGCCAAGAUCAUGCCAUUGCAUUCCAGCCUGGGCAACAGAGUGAGAUUCCUCUCAAAAAAAAAAAAAAAAAAAGAAAGAAAGAAAGAAAGAGAAAAAAAAAGUGUACUGCUGAAAAACUAACUUUAAAGUUUGAAAUGCUAUUAUUCAGUACCAGGUAUUAUGUUCAAACCAAUGUGGGGGCUUCCGUAUAAGGGGCUACACAUCAUUGGGCAGAUUUGAUUAGCUGUGACAAUUGUUUAGAGUCCUUAAAGAAGGCUUUAAGCACAGUCUAGGAGUGUACUAUGUGAUACGGUUUGGAUAUUUGUCGCCACCCAAAUCUUAUGUUGAAUUAUAAUCCCCAGUGCUAGAGGUGGGCCUGGUGGGAGGUGAAUUGAUCAUGGGGGCGAUUUCUUAUGGCUUAACACCACAUACUCUUGCUGUUGUCAUUGUGAUAAUGAGUUCUUGUGAGAUCUGGUCAUUUAUAAGUGUGUGGCACCUCAACCUUCUCUCUCUUCCUCCUGCUCCCUCUUUGCCUUCCACCAUGAGUAAAAGCUCCCUGAGGCCUCCCCAGAAGCAGAUGCUGCCAUGCUUCCUGUAGUCUGUGGAACUGUGAGCCAAUUAAACCUCUUUUCUUUAUAAAUUACUCAAUCUCAGGUAUUUCUUUACAGCAACACAAGAAUGGCAUAAUACACUACGUAAUAAUAGCCACAUAUGAGUAGUGAGCACUUGAAAUGUGGCUAGUCUUAAUUGAGAUAUGCUCUAAGAAAUUGAAGAUAGUACAUAUAGCACAUUUUAAAAUGUGGCUAUUAGAAAUUUUUAAAUUACAUGUUGGCCUACAUUAAAUUCUAUUGGAAGCCGGGCGCAGUGGCUCACGCCUGUAAUCCCAGCACUUUGGGAGGCCUAGGCAGGCGGAUCACUUGAGGUCAGGAGUUUGAGACCAGCCUGGCCAACAUGGAGAAACCUCGUCUCUACUAUAAAUACAAAAUUUGCCAGGUGUGGUGGCACAUGCUUGUAAUUCCAGCUACUUGGGAGGCUGAAGCAGGAGAAUUGCUUGAACCCGGGAGGCGGAGGUUGCGGUGAGCCGAGAUCAUGCCAUUGCACUACAGCCUGGGCAACAAAGGUGAAACUUCGACUCAAAAAAAAAAUAUAUAUAUAUAUAUAUAUAGGAAGGCACUGGUAGGGAAUUUAAAGCACGGCUGUUGGCCCAAGAACCAUUGGUAGACAGCAUUCUAAAGAAUUAAUUAAGGCCAGGUGUGGUGGCUCACCUCUGCAAUCCCAGCACUUUGGGAGGCCAAGGCGGACGGAUCUCCAGAGGUCCGGAGUUUGAGACCAGCCUGGCCAACAUAGUGAAACCUCGUCUCUACUAAAAAUAGAAAAAUUAGCUGGGCACGGUGGUCCAUGCCUGUAAUCCCAGCUACUCAGGAGGCUGAGUAGGCAGGAGAAUCACUUGAACCCAGGAGGUGGAGGUUGCAGUGACCUGAGAUCGUGCCACUACACUCCAGCCUGGAUGGCAGAGUGAGACUCUGUCUCUAAAUAAAUAAAUAAAAAUGAAGUAAUUAAGCAUUUUCUAUUUUUGGUAAAUUAUUGAUUUUAUAGAAUAUUUAAUGAUUUUCAAUACUUUAGGUUCUCAGUUUAUCAGUUUGUAGAUUAAAUAAGUAAUUUUCUUAGAUUCCCUUCUGAUUCCUAAAAUUUAAUAGGGAUCUUUGAAAAAUAACCUCCCCAGUCCAGAAAAAUUGUCAAAAACUCCUCUAGUUUGGACAAAAUGUAGAGUUUGAGAUGUCUUAGUCAGUAUUUAGUCAGAUAUGAGAGCAAUCAUGAUGUUUCUGGCCUAGAGAGUGGGAAGACUUUCCGACCACUCUGCAUAUGUUCAUAGGGAGACUGUAUUUUGUGGUUGUUUUAUAAAACAAACCACAUAUAUACUUGGAUCGCUUCAAAGCCAAAUAGAAAUGACUAUGUAUUAUCAACUCCUUAGAGAAUUUAAAAUAGCAAUUAUUAAAAAGCACAAAUAAAAUAAACUGCUGGAUUGGAGUGCUAUUCCUUUCACAUGCUUUCAGUGUUUCCUAGGAGCAAAUUCACAUCAUUUCUAGGUUUUGUUAAACACAUUUUAAUUUUAUUAAACCUAAACCAGAUCUUGUUUAUUAGGUUGUUCUUGGCAGGUGUUAUAUAAAAUGAAGUAAAUUGUAUUUAAGAACCACAGAGUAAAAAAUAAAAUCAUGACCUUAAAAUGGAAAAUUUUGGGUUUAUACUAUUCUUUUAAAUCCAUCAACCUGAAAAGUUUCACCAAAAUAGGAGAAUUAGUCACCAUGGAAGAUAGAUCCCUGUAAGGAGAUCAAAUAAAGGUAAACCUAUUCUGUUAAUCUUCUCUCCUUUUACUUCACACCUUCACACCCUGAAUCUUCACUAAUGUAAUCCUCUUAGUAUUUUUUACUAGUUUUUCUUUUUUUCACUUAGUAUUUUUUACCAGUGUAAUCUUCUUCUUUGUAUUGAGUCACAUAAUGGUUACAUCUGUUUUUCCCUGAAUGGACACCAGUUAUAAGUGGGAUGCUUGCUGUUACCAUGGGUCCCAACUUAUCAAGUAAAAACUGCUAUCCUUUAAUCCACUUUAAAAGCCUAUCUUUCAUUCAAAGACUCAAAUAAAAGUGCCUAUCACUCGAAUGCUAAAGGACCAUGCCUGAAUAUGAAUGCAUCACAUUUUGAUGGCUAUAGAUUGCACCCACUUCUAAUAGGUAUCAUCACUUUAUUUAUCAGACUUCUGAAGUCUCAUGUUAUUUUUGUCAUCUGAUAUAAUCUAGCCACUGAUAAAACUGGUUAUGCUACCCCAGAUAUGCAAAGCAAUCUAAUUUUCAUGCCAACCAAAUAAGCCACAGUAUAACUAAAAACAACUUGUUUACGCAUAGACAAUUUUUGCAGGCAUUUUAAAAUAUAACACAGAUGCUAAAGGCUAAUGGCUCGGAUGGCAGAUUAUUCUUAUUUAAAUAUUACAAUUUUUGACUGUAGAGUUACUUUUACAAUAUUAGUGUAAAACUUAACAUUAGAAGCCAAAUAAUUUUAGUAUGUGGAUAUUAUUUAUAAGACCUACUAUGGGAUAAAUCUAGGGUAGGGGUUCCUCAGGAAACAUGACCCUACUAAGGAAGAACUUUUCUCAUUAGGGUGGACAUGAAACCACAACACCAAGAUGUGUAAGAGUUUUCUUUAGAGAAAUGCUUGAGGUUCUAUAAUAGUAGACAAAUACCACACAACAGAAAAUCUAAAUCGUAUUUGUCAACUGGUAUUGUAGUUGCAUGUAUGAAUACAUUUUUAGUGAUGGGAAGGGACAAGAGGGCAGAAGCAUAUUACAUAGCAAGGACCAGCCAACAUUUUUAAUUUAUCCUGGAUUAUAUUCACAAGAUCAGUCUGAAAAAUUUACCCAGACACAAGUAUUUA
rnacentral:lncRNA from 1 species